rnacentral:rRNA from 1 species
UACGUAGGGUGCGAGCGUUAAUCGGAAUUACUGGGCGUAAAGCGUGCGCAGGCGGUUAUGUAAGACAGUUGUGAAAUCCCCGGGCUCAACCUGGGAAUUGCAUCUGUGACUGCAUAGCUAGAGUACGGUAGAGGGGGAUGGAAUUCCGCGUGUAGCAGUGAAAUGCGUAGAUAUGCGGAGGAACACCGAUGGCGAAGGCAAUCCCCUGGACCUGUACUGACGCUCAUGCACGAA